rnacentral:rRNA from 1 species
GUGAACCAGUACCGUGAGGGAAAGGCGAAAAGAACCCCGGCGAGGGGAGUGAAAAAGAACCUGAAACCGUGUACGUACAAGCAGUGGGAGCACAGGUUUACCUGUGUGACUGCGUACCUUUUGUAUAAUGGGUCAGCGACUUAUAUUCUGUAGCAAGGUUAACCGAAUAGGGGAGCCGGAGGGAAACCGAGUCUUAAUUGGGCGUUAAGUUGCAGGGUAUAGACCCGAAACCCGGUGAUCUAGCCAUGGGCAGGUUGAAGGUUGGGUAACACUAACUGGAGGACCGAACCGACUAAUGUUGAAAAAUUAGCGGAUGACCUGUGGCUGGGGGUGAAAGGCCAAUCAAACCGGGAGAUAGCUGGUUCUCCCCGAAAGCUAUUUAGGUAGCGCCUCGUGAAUUCAUCUCCGGGGGUAGAGCACUGUUUCGGCUAGGGGGCCAUCCCGGCUUACCAACCCGAUGCAAACUGCGAAUACCGGAGAAUGUUAUCACGGGAGACACACGGCGGGUGCUAACGUCCGUCGUGAAGAGGGAAACA